CUUAUUCUUUGUCCAAUAUUUGCAAAAUUUUGCAUAUUUAAUUCUCAAAGACAGCUUUUGUAACUUACAUAAUUUGAUUUUGAUUUUAUAUUCCUGAAAUUUAAAUAUAUUGAUUUGAAUAUGCCCAAUUUGACGUAUUUUACCGGCUUUUAUGGUGCUUCUAAAAAAACCUGCAGAACACAGUAACUUAUCUUUUUCACGGAUCAGAUUGUCUUAAAACUUGCUAGAGGUGUUAAAUAUUGUGCAUGGGACUGUUGUUUGUGAAUAGCUACUCAAAAUAAUAAGAUUUACACGCUCUGAAAAUGACCUUUUUGUCUAAAAAUCUACGAAAAACAUGGCCGCGUUGUGCAAAUAAUGAGUUGCUUAUUUCAAAACUGUCCUAUUAUUUUUCAGUAAAACUUCUUGUUAAUUUAAGACUCUAAUAACUUGCUUGACAUACCCAUAGGCAAAUAUCUGUUAUCGGUGUAAUUACACCUUUGGAGAAAAGCGUGAUUCGCACGUUUUAAUUUCAUCAUUCGCCGCCUGGAGAGACAAGAUGGCGGAGCUUGCGAAAUCGAAAAUUGUUACUUGAAAGUCAAUGGUUGAUCAUGCUGACCAUCUUUAAUUUAAUGGGGAAAGAUUAACCAGUAUCUGCAGCUGGACAGGCUGUCACCACAGUUCAAUGAUUUAGUUAAGACAAUGAAAUCGAAGAACUUCAUGCUAACACUUGCAUCAGUGGAAGUACUUCUUAUUGGAUAGAGAACUUUUCAAGGUCAGACAUCAGCUUUUGAAGUUGCUUUCUUGGCACAUCAUGCUGUCCAGUGGAGUUCAUACCAUAUGCCAGGCCUUUAUACAUGGUCAAAGAAGAUGAAUUUGUUAUUCAAUUUGUGAAAUUUGAUUUAAGGAGGACUUUCAUAUAUGAUGAUUAUAUUCAGCAGAUUAUCUUCAAGUGUGCACUUUAUAGAAUCACAGUUUCUAGGAGGUUUUCAGUUUAAAGUUAGAUUAAUUGAAAAAUGAUGAAAAGUACAUUGUUAGAACUUCAAAUAUGCAACAUAAAGGUGAAUAUAGGUAAAUUCAUAAAUUCUCACCACAGGGUGUGCGGGUUAGUGGCUUUGAGUUGUGCAAAUUCAGUACAUAGAUCUAUAAUCUUAAUCUGCUGAGAAUUUCUUCCCUUAAAUGAUGGAUAAGUCUUUAAAUUAUAAAUAUUGAAAUAAAUUUGCAUCUGUGCUUCUAUGGCAUUACUAGGAAAGACACGUUAUUAUACAUUCUACAUUGUAACAGUUGGUGUUUAGAUCCUAUAAUUGUAAAACAUAAAAUAAAUGUUGCAAGUUUCAUAAAA